rnacentral:rRNA from 1 species
UACGUAGGGUGCAAGCGUUGUCCGGAAUUAUUGGGCGUAAAGAGCUCGUAGGCGGUUUGUUGCGUCGGCUGUGAAAUCCCGAGGCUCAACCUCGGGUCUGCAGUCGAUACGAGCAAACUAGAGUGUUGCAGGGGAGACUGGAAUUCCUGGUGUAGCGGUGAAAUGCGCAGAUAUCAGGAGGAACACCGGUGGCGAAGGCGGGUCUCUGGGCAACAACUGACGCUGGAGGAGCGGAAAAGCGUGGGGAGCGAACAGG